ensembl:snRNA U6 U6 spliceosomal RNA
GUGCUUCCUUCAGCAACACAUAUAAUAAAAUUGGGAUGAUACAGAGAAGAUUAGCAUGGCCCCUGUAUGAAGAUGAUACACAAACUCAUGAAAUGUUCUGUAUUUUA